rnacentral:rRNA from 1 species
UACGUAGGGCGCAAGCGUUGUCCGGAAUUAUUGGGCGUAAAGAGCUCGUAGGCGGCUUGUCACGUCGGGUGUGAAAGCCCGGGGCUUAACCCCGGGUCUGCAUUCGAUACGGGCUAGCUAGAGUGUGGUAGGGGAGAUCGGAAUUCCUGGUGUAGCGGUGGAAUGCGCAGAUAUCAGGAGGAACACCGGUGGUGAAGGCGGUCUCUGGGCCUACUGACGUCUGAGGAGCGAAAGCGUGGGGAGCGAACAGG